CUCACACAGCCCAUGUUUGGAGAAGUUGGGGUGUAAAACUGGCUUCAGAGCCUGCUUCCUUCUCCGCUGGGCUCGCCCACCUCCUGGUGACGGUGCCUUUAGCUGCCUGUGUUCCCUACUACGUAAUGAGCCAGUCACAGCAGCGACUGUGACUUCAGCUCAGUUUUGGAUUGUACUGUCUUGACCCAGCUCCGGGCUCCGAGUAGAGACUGCUCAGCUUUCCUGUAGAGCAGGCGAUUUGAUCUGCUCACCACACCAGCUGCUCCCCACGGCUCCAGCUGAUGGCUGCUGCAUCCUGACCUUUUUUAAUCCACAUUCGAGGCCAAGAAACAGGGAGAAGGAAGGCAAAUGGAAACCUUUCCUAGAAGCCCCUUCAAGCGGUCAACUAGCCACGCUUUCACUGGACAGAAACCACAAGGCCAUUUUUACCUACAAUGAAUUUCUGGAAUGCUCUUUUCGGGGCACAUCACUAUUAUGAACAAAACCACUGACCUGUUAAUAAGGCAGAAGGAAAGGAUUGAAUAUAAAGAUGCGAUUGGCGGUGUCUCCUCUGCAGGAAACGUGCUUCACACAGUCCCGGACACCCAGCACAUACCUAAGAAGGGUCACCUCUGGUGAUGAUGGUCAGCUCCGCGGGGGACUGACGCCCGACCCUAGAGCCACAUUCCUCCCAUUGACAGGCAGCCUCUGUCAUCCUGCUGACCUGCUGCCUGAAUCACCCUGGUGUGCCCGUCACUGCUCCCAAUCAGCCUGCUGUGGCUGUGUCUCCAAGGACCACUAGGCAGCCCUUCCCUAUCAGCUGCCUGAUCCGGCCCCAUCCAACCAGCAGCCAGGAGCCUUGCUCUCCCGGGAAGCUGCUAGUACAUCCUGGACGGGAAGCGAGGUUCUCCUUGAAGUCUCCUUGAAGCUGGCAGAGGAAUGGACCCUCUCCUGUCUCUGUCCCCCGCCAUGUGUUCUCUUUCCCCCGGAAAUCAUCUUCAGGAAGGAGCACCCCGAAACUGGGUGUGGUUUUGCUGGGGUGCGUGGUCAGACACCAAGGGGGCCCCCCUCCUCGGCUAGAGCAACCCCCAAGCUCAUCCGCUGAAGCAAACGUCAGUGGCGUCCAGGUUUCCUCACCCAGGAAACGUCAGAGUUUCACCAGGGGCUGAAUCUAAGGAGGGGGACCGCCCCUGAGUUUGCCCAUUUUAAACCUGAGCACGAGCUUCCAGGUGGCUCACGGGCCAUGUCGGUGGGAUUCACACUCGCAGCAGCCGUGGGUAAGAUCUCCGGUUUCUCAGUACCCGGCCCAGGGUUUGACAUCGUUAGACUCUGGAACGUUUCACCAUGAGAAAUGCAAUUUGUGUUUUUAAGAUGACUGAGAGGAUGGGCAGCUUUGGACAUGCUUCCUGGGAUUCAUUACCUGGAGAGUCUUAAAGACCCUGUUCAUGUCUAAUAUGACCAUCCAACGUAUUAUGAUGCUUUUUUCGGGGGGCACUGGAGAUUGAACUCAGGGGCACUCGACCCCUGAGCCCCAUCCCCAGCCCUAUUUUGGAUUUUAUUUAGAGACAGGGUCUCACCGAGUUGCUUAAAGCCUUGCCAUUGCUGAGGCUGGCUUUGAACUGGCGAUCCUCCUGCCUCAGCCUCCUGAGCCACUGAGUCUAUUAAUCUACAAGACCAUCCUUCCUGGGUACAGUACACACAGUGCUCACAAGAGCCUGCGGAGCCACACUGAGGUCUUCUCAGCCAGAAACCAGUGGUCAGGGGCCGCGGAAGAAGCAUCAGGUAUGAAGAGAAGUUACGUCAUACAGUCGUAGCAGGAGGAGUACUAGGUGCCACUGAAUAUCUGAAAGGGUAUUUCAUUUAAGAUGUUCUCUGCCUGACCUUGAACUUCACAUCAAUGGAGUCAUCUGGAGCAUGUCCUCUUUUGUGGCUCUCCACUUUUGCACAAUAUGGAGUAGAUCUGCUGAUGUUUUGUGGUUGCUGAGCUUCCAUUCACUUCCCUUGCUGUAUAGUAUCCCGCUCUGUGACUGUACCACAAAUUCUCACCUGGGGUACUGCGGUGGACGUUUGGGUCCGUUUCAGCUGGGACCGUUAAGAAUACUGCUGCUAUGAAAUUCCUGAACGUGCCUUUUGGUGCUCACAUAUGGCCACCUCUGGGAACCUGUCAGGCCUCAGGGUGGGCACAUGUACAACUUAGCAGAGCGGGACACGUCAUUUCCAAGGCGGUUCUUGUGCAAAUACAGGCUCCGUCUAGCGGUCCCAGAGUCCUGGUUGCCCCAGGUUCUCCCGAUGUUUGAUGAUUCCCGACUUUCUUGAUUUGGCCAUUUGGGUGGGUGAGACAAUCCUGUCUUCUCUUCAUCUCACCAAACCAAUUCUGCCUCACCCCAGCCUGUGCUCCACAGUUUCCACGUAGUCAGAAGAGCUGGUCCACAGAAGAAAGCUUGAAUGACCGACAUGCCCUGGGCUUCUGCAAGCACUACAGACGUGACCUUCUAGAUCUUUCCAGAUGUAGCAGAUGGAGAGGAAACAGGAAAAAGCCACCCAUCAAUGGAUCUCCCCUUCCUGGGAUUAUAAGAGCUUCAUCUAUCAAGGCCUUUCCUUCCGCUGGUCAUUUCUUUAUUGCCCUGUGGUGACCAUCCUUUGAAACCCAGACCAGGAGGCUUCAAUAAAACUCAGACUUCAAUUUCAGAGUAGAAAAUCCUUUAGAAGACUCUCAGCAAACCAGAUGAUCAUAGGGAAAAAAAUGUGAAUCUGGAGUAGGUUCUAGAAUGUUCCAGGCCCCACCCCUUCACUGUACGGACGGGAGAACUGACUCUUCCAGGGGAACGUGCAUGGGUGCCGACUGGAACCUGCCCUCCUCGUUCUCCUUGAGGGCCUCCGGCACGACCCGGGGCUGCUCCGAAUCCUAUUCCGAACUCACACGCUGACAUUUUUGUUUGUUGUUGUUUCCAAACUGCGAGUCACGUACCGUGAUUCUAGAUCUCAGAGGCAGGUGCUGGCACGACUUCAGAGUUUUGUCUUUUCAUCUGAUUUUAGCAGACCCACGGUAUUUUAAUAGGUGUUUCACCUUUAUUUGAUUUCAUGGACAAUUGAUUCUUUCACAAAGCAAAAAAAAAAAGAAAAUAAAAAAGAAUAUUUCCCUCUUCUUCCCAGCAUGGCCCUUGACCAGGAAAGGGAAGUCCAUGAGAGUGGGGGAGUCGAACCCGGGAAGCCCAUCUCUCCCAUCCUCGAUGAUAUCCACAUGCCUGCCACGUCCUCCUGGCUCUCGCCGGGCGCUGUCAGGGACGGAUCUCCAGCAGUGAGCACAUGGGCAGGGCCAGGAGGUCACUGCCAACUCAUCUCUGCAGGGCAAGAGAGACUGACCAUUACAGCUGAAUAGAAUCUUCUGGAUGCUGUAGGAGAAUUGGAGUCAACAAGAAAUAAGUUCAUAGAAGAAGAUAAGAAUAGAAUUCUAAUCCUCCUCCUCCUCCUCCUCCUCCU